rnacentral:rRNA from 1 species
GACGAACCGUGCAAACGUUGUCCGGAAUCACUGGGCUUAAAGGGCGCGUAGGCGGGCGUGCAAGUCUGUGGUGAAAUCCCACGGCUCAACCGUGGAAGGGCCUUUGAUACUGCUCGUCUGGAGGGAGGUAGGGGCGUGCGGAACUUCCGGUGGAGCGGUGAAAUGCGUAGAUAUCGGGAGGAACACCAGUGGCGAAAGCGGCGCGCUGGACCUCUACUGACGCUGAGGCGCGAAAGCCAGGGGAGCAAACGGG